UUCGCAAUGGUGAAUUAGGGGUAAAAAAAAAGGGGUUAAAGAUGGUGUGAAAAGAUUGAUUUAAUGUGUGUUUUCUUUUCUUUUCUUUUUUUUUUUGGUAAAGAAGACCGAUAAUUAUAUUAAAAUAAAAAGAAGCUUACAAACCGUUUGAGAACCAAAAACAGAACACUAUUACAUACAGCCAAAAACAGAGAACUUAUCACAUACAGGUA
rnacentral:lncRNA from 1 species